UCAUAGAUACCCCAACUAGUUAUACAUUGCCUGACAGUGUAUGGUGGAUGUGGUUGUGACCUGUAGCACCAGACUCCACCCCACAAGGUGGAUGGUCUGAUUACGAUUUGCAUCUUGGACGCUGUUGAGCAUUUUUCAAACCUAUCAAGCACCGUUUAUCGAAGCUCCCGAAGAAGCGACGACGUCGCGAAACAUGUCGAGCUGAACCCCAUUUUAAUCAGAACUCAUCCUGUACCACCUUUCGAAGUUACAACGCCACCCAGCGCUCCUAGUGUAUUCUAUGCAUCCAGCCCUGUGGCUAAUAGCGAUGUCUUCAGAAAGUGUUAGGAUUUGAGCUCUUUUGUGUAUCCUAUUUGUUUGCUUUUCCUUUUUCUUUUUUUCAUAUAGAGCAACUGUGAUGUAUCUUUGUAGUCUUGUAUUUACUAAAUUAAAAUAUUUAUAAUUUUAA